rnacentral:lncRNA from 1 species
UUUAUAAAAAAAGUAAUAUAUGGGUAGUAAGUACAAAUUGUAAGGAUAAGACGUGUAUGAAAGUGCACAGGUACAACCCCAAAGCAUCACGAACUUUUAAAUACUAUCAUCCGCUUACCCAUUUAGAUAUAAUGGUAAUGUAUAUCUUCAUAUGCUCACACAUAAAUACAUACAUACAUACAUAUAUAUAUAUAUAUACACUAUCGUUUUUUCUCACAAAUGUAAUAGUUCGGUACAGGCAUCAUCAAGGGAGUAAUCGGGAUAGAUAAGUUUCAAGUAGGUGAUUUUGUAGUACAUAACCAGUGUUUUGGAUUGGUGAAAAGAGAAAAAGGAAUAGAAGAUAAACCUAAUGUAUUUGAAAAACUUUUUUUCGAAGGUAUUAUAGGGUUGGCAUUUUCUUCUAUGCUUUCUACGGGGCAUGAAUCGUUUUAUGACAAUUUAAAUAAUAAUUACAAAUUUAAACAUAAUGAGUUUUCCAUAUAUAUUGGAAAUGAUGGAAAAUACUCAGCUAUGAUAUUUGGGGGAGUAGAAAAGAAGUUUUAUGAAGGAAUUAUUUUUAUGUUUCCUGUUAUUAAAGAAUAUUAUUGGGAAAUUGAAUUUGAUGGUUUGUACAUCGAUCAAGUAAAAUUCUGUUGUGGUAAAUAUACACUUGCAUAUGAUAUGGUUAAAAAAGAGAAAAAAGAAAGAAAAAGAGAAAGAAAUUUUUUUAUGAAUAAAUAUAACUAUAUAAAAAAAAGGCUUCGGCUAAAAAGUAAUUCUGAUACAGACAUGGAUACUGAUAGCAUCGCCGAUGGCAGCACCGAUGGUAACAUUGAUAAAUACCAGUAUAGUCAUAUUUUAGCAGAUAAAAAAAAUUAUUUAAUAUUUGAUUCGGGAACUUCUUUUAAUAGUGUUCCUAAAUCAGAAAUGAAAUAUUUUUUUCAGUUAAUCCCUCCAAGGCCUUGUGAUGAUAACAACAUUGAAGAAGUGAUGAAUCGUUACCCCAAUAUUACCUAUCUAAUAAAUAAAAUACCUUUCGUACUGACGCCAUCCCAAUACUUGAUACAAAAAGAUGGCGUAUGUAAACCUGCUUUUAUGGAAAUAGAUGUUUCAAAUAAAUAUGGCCAUGCAUACAUUGUUGGUAAUGCCAUAUUCAUGAGGAACUACUAUACGGUUUACCGGAAAGGAUCCCAUAACACAAAAUCAUACGUAAGUCGAAAUAUGUUAAUACGUAGAUACAUGCAUACAUAUAUGUAUGUAUAUAUCUAUCUAUCUAUCUAUCU